GGCAGUGCGGGAGCUAUAAUGCAGUCGAGCGGACUUAUGGGAGCUUGCUCCCUGAAGUCAGCGGCGGACGGGUGAGUAACACGUGGGCAACCUGCCUGUAAGACUGGGAUAACUCCGGGAAACCGGGGCUAAUACCGGAUAAUUCUUUCCCUCACAUGAGGGAAAGCUGAAAGAUGGUUUCGGCUAUCACUUACAGAUGGGCCCGCGGCGCAUUAGCUAGUUGGUGAGGUAACGGCUCACCAAGGCGACGAUGCGUAGCCGACCUGAGAGGGUGAUCGGCCACACUGGGACUGAGACACGGCCCAGACUCCUACGGGAGGCAGCAGUAGGGAAUCUUCCGCAAUGGACGAAAGUCUGACGGAGCAACGCCGCGUGAGUGAUGAAGGUUUUCGGAUCGUAAAACUCUGUUGUUAGGGAAGAACAAGUACCGGAGUAACUGCCGGUACCUUGACGGUACCUAACCAGAAAGCCACGGCUAACUACGUGCCAGCAGCCGCGGUAAUACGUAGGUGGCAAGCGUUGUCCGGAAUUAUUGGGCGUAAAGCGCGCGCAGGCGGUUCCUUAAGUCUGAUGUGAAAGCCCCCGGCUCAACCGGGGAGGGUCAUUGGAAACUGGGGAACUUGAGUGCAGAAGAGAAGAGUGGAAUUCCACGUGUAGCGGUGAAAUGCGUAGAGAUGUGGAGGAACACCAGUGGCGAAGGCGACUCUUUGCUCUGUAACUGACGCUGAGGCGCUAAAGCGUGUGGAGCAAACAUGAUUACAUACGCUGGUACUCCACGCCGUAACUAUGACUGCUAAGUGUUAGAGGGUUUCCGCCCUUUUAGUGCUGCAUCAAACUCCUU
rnacentral:rRNA from 2 species